rnacentral:ncRNA from 2 species
AAUUUAUAAAGAAAAGGGGAGAGACAGGCUCUGCGAACCUUUAGCAACUUUCCGGGUGGAAUCAGUGCUAACCUGCCUAUUUUUUUAGGAACUAUAAAUU